rnacentral:rRNA from 1 species
AUUGAACGCUGGCGGCAGGCCUAACACAUGCAAGUCGAGCGAGCGGCGGACGGGUGAGUAAUGUCUGGGAAACUGCCUGAUGGAGGGGGAUAACUACUGGAAACGGUAGCUAAUACCGCAUACCAUCAGAUGUGUCCAGAUGGGAUUAGCUGGUCGGUGGGGUAACGGCCCACUGAGGCGACGAUCCGUAGCUGGUCUGAGAGGAUGACCAGCCACACUGGAACUGAGACACGGGCCAGACGCCUACGGGAGGCAGCAGUGGGGAAUAUUGCACAAAGGGGGCAAGCAUGAUGCAGCCAUGCCGCGUGUGUGAAGAAGGCUUUCGGGUUGUAAAGCACUUUCAGCGGGGAGGCGUUACCCGCAGAAGAAGCACCGGCUAACUCCGUGCCAGCAGCCGCGGUAAUAC